rnacentral:rRNA from 1 species
GAUGAACGCUGGCGGCGUGCCUAAUACAUGCAAGUCGAGCGAACAGACGAGGAGCUUGCUCCUCUGACGUUAGCGGCGGACGGGUGAGUAACACGUGGAUAACCUACCUAUAAGACUGGGAUAACUUCGGGAAACCGGAGCUAAUACCGGAUAAUAUAUUGAACCGCAUGGUUCAAUAGUGAAAGACGGUUUUGCUGUCACUUAUAGAUGGAUCCGCGCCGCAUUAGCUAGUUGGUAAGGUAACGGCUUACCAAGGCAACGAUGCGUAGCCGACCUGAGAGGGUGGUCGGCCACACGGGAACUGAGACACGGUCCAGAGGCCUACGGGAGGCAGCAGUAGGGAAUCUUACGCAAUGGGCGAAAGCUUGACGGAGCAACGCCGCGUGAGUGAUGAAGGUCUUCGGAGCGUAAAACUCUGUUAUUAGGGAAGAACAAAUGUGUAAGUAACUAUGCACGUCUUGACGGUACCUGAUCAGAAAGCCACGGCUAACUACGUG